rnacentral:misc_RNA from 1 species
UCGAAGAACCCGGCGAACUGGCGCGCAGCACGGUAACCGCAAACUUAAAGGCAGUUCGGUACUCGCACGUGGGCCUUCGUUCGUGUCGGAUGUGUGCGCGUAUGAAAAUAUCGCCAAUUGUAAAGGACACCGUCCGUUACCACGUACGUGUCAUCAACAGUGUUCGCGUUAAUAAUUAUCGUUGUAAAUCGUCUCAGGUCUCAGGGAAUACCUACUCCAAUCUAGUAUUAAUGAAUAAAAUUUCUUCGUAACGCGAACGACUGUUGAACGUGUGCAACCGUUAAAUUUUGUAAUUUCGGUUUUAUCGGUCAAUAGAUUAUUUUUACUGUUAGAAGGAUAUCCGUAUUGUUGGUGUGAAUCUCUUUUUAUUGGUGUGUUUGGGAUUAAAGAAACAAGUUCAGUGCAUCGGAAGAGGACAGUGCUUCAAAAAAUUAGAGGUAACAUCCUGUGACGAGAAUCAUCAUUUUGUCUAAAUGGUGGUAAGCCUGUGACGUGAUUAACCGUUGACCAAAGUACCAGAGAAAGGUGUCAAAAUUGAGCAGGUCGUCCUCCCGUCCGGCGGUGAUCUCGCCAAAAUUUGGAGGAUGUUGAUGCCCGGUGCUGCUGGUCUCAGUGCCGUAGGCGCGGUGGGCGCCGUUGGGGCGCCAGGGCCGGACGAGCUGGUGUCGGGCCUUGGCGCUUUGGCCGGCACUACGCCUCAACAGAAGGAUACCACUUGGACGAAACUUUUCGUCGGUGGUUUGCCGUAUCAUACCACCGACAAGAGUCUCAGGGAACAUUUCAACGUGUAUGGGGACAUUGAAGAGGCAGUGGUCAUCACUGACAGGCAGACCGGCAAAAGUAGAGGUUACGGUUUCGUGAUCAUGGGAGACAGGCCAGCGGCAGAGAGGGCGUGCAAAGACCCGAACCCCAUAAUCGACGGUCGCAAAGCGAACGUCAACUUGGCGAUUCUUGGAGCUAAACCCAGGGGUAAUCUGCAAGCGAGGUGCCACCAGGCUACGUGUACCAGUCGCCGUACCUGGCGGCUGCCGCGCCAGGUGGUUUGGUGCCGCUUCCGGCCACGCAGUUGACCCACGCGGCUGCCAUGGCCGCGGCCUCUCAGUUCUACGAGUAUCAGAACGUCGCGGCUGCUGCCGCCACUUAUCCGGGGACGUCGUACAAUUUCGCCGAGGCUUAUCCCUAUACCAGCGCAGCCGCCGCUGCGAAUGCAGCGGCAGCGAGUUACGUGACACCAUACACGUAUGCAACGCUACCAGGUGCAGCGGCAGGAUUACCAGCAGCAGCGGCUGCAGCUGCAACAGCGGCGGGCGCAGCCUUCCCAGGACUACCGUAUCAAACGACGCCUCAGGAAGCAAGAUUGCAAUAGAAGUUGAAUGAAUUGCCGCGAGGUGGAGGUUCGAUGCACACCAAUUGUUCCGCCAGCGUUAAAAAAAGAAAAAAAAAAAAGAGAAGAAAAAAGAA